rnacentral:misc_RNA from 1 species
AUAAUUUGCACAUGUCAUCACACUAGGUAGGUCAGCGUCGACCCAAACACUGCAACUCUUCCGAACGAUUGUUAACUUUGGGCUAAGAGAUGCCAGACCCCCUGGAGGCAGUCUAGGUGCACCAGUGACAAACUGCAGGAAUGCUCUCUGUUGCUUGCUGUCAAAUUCCUUCAUAAUUUCAAGUAAAUUUAAAACUGGAGGACUGUUGGCAGUGUACCCAUGGUCAAACUUGAUGUGAUCCAGAAGCUCAUUGGAGUUCCAGAAUCCACACUCUCCGCACAAUAGUCUCUCUAAUUCAUCUUCAGUGAAAACCUGAAGAUGUCUGAUGGGGAAAACCUGAUCAAAGCCCGACUUGAAUGCUCCAAUUUGUCUUAAAAUUCCAGAAUUCA